AAGGUUACACUGUCUCCUUUUUCUAAUCAGUAAAACUAAUCUUCCCGUGAAGAAGCGGGGAUCACUAUAUAAGACGAGAAGACCCUAUGGAGCUUUAAACGAAAUAACAUCUACCAACUUAACCAAUAAUUUCAGAAAAUUAACAAUAAACCCGGUAUAAUGAUUACUAGUUUUAGGUUGGGGUGACCGCGGAGCAAAAAACAACCUCCGCAUUGAAUGGAGUUACACUCCUAAACAAAAAGCCACAACUUUAUGUAUCAAUACAUUGACAUCCAUUGACCCAUUAAUUUGAUCAACGAACCAAGUUACCCUAGGGAUAACAGCGCAAUCCAUUUCAAGAGCUCCUAUCGACAAAUGG
rnacentral:rRNA from 1 species